CCCCCCUGGCGACGGGCAAAGAGACACCAUGUUGGUGAUGUUACUCUUCUAUCAGUCAGGGGCAGAGCAGAUGGCAGUCCCUGCUCAUCUAGCUGGAUGCCUGUCUUGGUGGCAUAAGCUAUCUUAUGCCUAGGACUCAUAA